UGGGGAAUAUUGGACAAUGGGGGGAACCCUGAUCCAGCCAUGCCGCGUGUGUGAAGAAGGCCUUAUGGUUGUAAAGCACUUUAAGCGAGGAGGAGGGUACUGGUAUUAAUACUACCAGGUACUGGACGUUACUCGCAGAAUAAGCACCGGCUAACUCUGUGCCAGCAGCCGCGGUAAUACAGAGGGUGCGAGCGUUAAUCGGAUUUACUGGGCGUAAAGCGUGCGUAGGCGGCUAAUUGAGUCGGAUGUGAAAUCCCCGAGCUUAACUUGGGAAUUGCAUUCGAUACUGGUUAGCUAGAGUGUGGGAGAGGAUGGUAGAAUUCCAGGUGUAGCGGUGAAAUGCGUAGAGAUCUGGAGGAAUACCGAUGGCGGAGGCAGCCAUCUGGCCUAACACUGACGCUGAGGUACGAAAGCAUGGGGAGCAAACAGG
rnacentral:rRNA from 1 species